GACGAACGCUGGCGGCGUGCUUAACACAUGCAAGUCGAACGGAAAGGCCCUGCUUUUGUGGGGUGCUCGAGUGGCGAACGGGUGAGUAACACGUGAGUAACCUGCCCUUGACUUUGGGAUAACUUCAGGAAACUGGGGCUAAUACCGGAUAGGAGCUCCUGCUGCAUGGUGGGGGUUGGAAAGUUUCGGCGGUUGGGGAUGGACUCGCGGCUUAUCAGCUUGUUGGUGGGGUAGUGGCUUACCAAGGCUUUGACGGGUAGCCGGCCUGAGAGGGUGACCGGCCACAUUGGGACUGAGAUACGGCCCAGACUCGUACGGGAGGCAGCAGUGGGGAAUAUUGCGCAAUGGGCGGAGGCCUGAUGCAGCAACGCCGCGUGCGGGAUGACGGCCUUCGGGUUGUAAACCGCUUUCGCCUGUGACGAAGCGUGAGUGACGGUAAUGGGUAAAGAAGCACCGGCUAACUACGUG
rnacentral:rRNA from 1 species